AUGAGCGCCACAAAGUCUGAACGACUCAGCAGGAACCGAGCGGAAUCAAUCAACUACACACGCCUAGAUGAACAUAAUCAACAUCAGUUGCAUCUCAAAUCGGCAGAUCUACCCGAUAAUCCAGGCAUAAUCGUGAGAGAUUUCACGACAACGGAGCCAAAUCAACAGCAAUCGAUCAACAAAUCUAUCAUAGAUGAACAUAAUCAACAUCAGUUGCAUCUCAAAUCGGCAGAUCUACCGGAUAAUCCAGGCAUAAUCGUGAGAAAUUUCACGACAACGGAGCCAAAUCAACAGCAAUCGAUCAACAAAUCUAUCGUCUCGAACCAGUACUGCUAA
rnacentral:rRNA from 1 species